GGGAUGCUUUGCCUUACCAAAAGAUAAUAGGAAACAGCAUAUCAUGCAAAUCUCAGUGUCAAAGGCUAUAGGUCCUUAAUAUAUAGCGGAGAUCAUGACACGAUGAUCCCUUACACAUCAACCGAAUCUUGGAUAAGAUCUCUUAACUACUCUAUUGUUGAUGAUUGGCGACCAUGGAUUGUUGAUGGUCAAGUUGCCGGGUAUACAAGGACAUAUUCAAAUAAAAUGACAUUUGCCACAGUGAAGGAAAGCA